AUGCAACUGAUGAGUCCCGAAUAGGACGAAAUGUGUGUCGUGAAU
rfam:Schistosoma rodhaini strain Burundi genome assembly, scaffold: SROB_scaffold0000235